CUGGAGGUAUCAGAAGUGCGAAUGCUGACAUAAGUAACGAUAAAGCGGGUGAAAAGCCCGCUCGCCGGAAGACCAAGGGUUCCUGUCCAACGUUAAUCGGGGCAGGGUGAGUCGACCCCUAAGGCGAGGCCGAAAGGCGUAGUCGAUGGGAAACGGGUUAAUAUUCCCGUACUUGGUGUUACUGCGAAGGGGGGACGGAGAAGGCUAUGUUGGCCGGGCGACGGUUGUCCCGGUUUAAGCGUGUAGGUGUGUGUUCCAGGUAAAUCCGGUUCACUUUAACACUGAGGCGUGAUGACGAGGCACUACGGUGCUGAAGCAACAAAUGCCCUGCUUCCAGGAAAAGCCUCUAAGCAUCAGGUAACAUCAAAUCGUACCCCAAACCGACACAGGUGGUCAGGUAGAGAAUACCAAGGCGCUUGAGAGAACUCGGGUGAAGGAACUAGGCAAAAUGGUGCCGUAACUUCGGGAGAAGGCACGCUGACACGUAGGUGAAGUGAUUUACUCAUGGAGCUGAAGUCAGUCGAAGAUACCAGCUGGCUGCAACUGUUUAUUAAAAACACAGCACUGUGCAAACACGAAAGUGGACGUAUACGGUGUGACGCCUGCCCGGUGCCGGAAGGUUAAUUGAUGGGGUCAGCGCAAGCGAAGCUCCUGAUCGAAGCCCCGGUAAACGGCGGCCGUAACUAUAACGGUCCUAAGGUAGCGAAAUUCCUUGUCGGGUAAGUUCCGACCUGCACGAAUGGCGUAAUGAUGGCCAGGCUGUCUCCACCCGAGACUCAGUGAAAUUGAACUCGCUGUGAAGAUGCAGUGUACCCGCGGCAAGACGGAAAGACCCCGUGAACCUUUACUAUAGCUUGACACUGAACAUUGAGCCUUGAUGUGUAGGAUAGGUGGGAGGCUUUGAAGUGUGGACGCCAGUCUGCAUGGAGCCGGCCUUGAAAUACCACCCUUUAAUGUUUGAUGUUCUAACGUGGACCCGUGAUCCGGGUUGCGGACAGUGUCUGGUGGGUAGUUUGACUGGGGCGGUCUCCUCCUAAAGAGUAACGGAGGAGCACGAAGGUUGGCUAAUCCUGGUCGGACAUCAGGAGGUUAGUGCAAUGGCAUAAGCCAGCUUGACUGCGAGCGUGACGGCGCGAGCAGGUGCGAAAGCAGGUCAUAGUGAUCCGGUGGUUCUGAAUGGAAGGGCCAUCGCUCAACGGAUAAAAGGUACUCCGGGGAUAACAGGCUGAUACCGCCCAAGAGUUCAUAUCGACGGCGGUGUUUGGCACCUCGAUGUCGGCUCAUCACAUCCUGGGGCUGAAGUAGGUCCCAAGGGUAUGGCUGUUCGCCAUUUAAAGUGGUACGCGAGCUGGGUUUAGAACGUCGUGAGACAGUUCGGUCCCUAUCUGCCGUGGGCGCUGGAGAACUGAGGGGGGCUGCUCCUAGUACGAGAGGACCGGAGUGGACGCAUCACUGGUGUUCGGGUUGUCAUGCCAAUGGCACUGCCCGGUAGCUAAAUGCGGAAGAGAUAAGUGCUGAAAGCAUCUAAGCACGAAACUUGCCCCGA
rnacentral:rRNA from 5 species